rnacentral:lncRNA from 1 species
AAUGGACAUAUCCAAAGGAAAGAUGGUCACAGCAUUAGCCAGGAACAUAUAUGAACAUAAUGUAGUUGUCAACUGGAAUAAUGCUAAGGUGGUUAAGCCAAUAUCUGACAGCUUUGGGCUCAAUGUACUAGAAGCGAUGGAAAUUGAAAAAAGGUGGUCCUACUCCAAUAUUAUAAGUGACAACCCACCCAUGGACUUACUUGAAUCCUGGAAAUGGUGCUCUCUGCAUAAUUUAUAACAAGACUUUGUGCGCAAUACUUGAUAUGCAUAUUGGAUCUAAGGACGUUGUUGUACUCGCGCCAGAUCUGCCAUAUCCUUUAUCUUCUCAGACUAAUAUGGCACCUUACACCAUAUGUUUAAUUCAUGUUUGUUACUAAUGUAAUGUGU